AUUGAACGCUGGCGGCAUGCCUAACACAUGCAAGUCGAACGAGUGGCGGACGGGUGAGUAAUGUCUUGGAAACUGCCCGAUGGAGGGGGAUAUCUACUGGAAACGUUAGCUAAUACCGCAUACCAUCGGAUGUGCCCAUAUGGGAUUUGCUAGGAGGUGGGGUAACGGAUCACCUAGGCGACGAUCCCUAGCUGGUCUGAGAGGAUGACCAGCCGCACUGGAAGUGAGACACGGUCCAGACUCAUACGGGAGGCAGCAGUGGGGAAUAGGGCGGCAGGGGCGGAAGCCAGAUGAAGCCAUGCCGAGUGUAUGAAGAAGGCAUUCGGGUUGUAAAGUGAUUUUAGUGAGGAGGCGUUACUAGCAGAAGAAGCACCGGCUAAAUCCGUGCCAGCAGCCGCGGUAAUAC
rnacentral:rRNA from 1 species